rnacentral:rRNA from 1 species
GACGAACGCUGGCGGCGUGCUUAACACAUGCAAGUCGAACGGAAAGGCCCUGCUUUUGUGGGGUGCUCGAGUGGCGAACGGGUGAGUAACACGUGAGUAACCUGCCCUUGACUUUGGGAUAACUUCAGGAAACUGGGGCUAAUACCGGAUAGGAGCUCCUGCUGCAUGGUGGGGGUUGGAAAGUUUCGGCGGUUGGGGAUGGACUCGCGGCUUAUCAGCUUGUUGGUGGGGUAGUGGCUUACCAAGGCUUUGACGGGUAGCCGGCCUGAGAGGGUGACCGGCCACAUUGGGACUGAGAUACGGCCCAGACUCCUACGGGAGGCAGCAGUGGGGAAUAUUGCACAAUGGGCGGAAGCCUGAUGCAGCAACGCCGCGUGCGGGAUGACGGCCUUCGGGUUGUAAACCGCUUUCGCCUGUGACGAGGCGUGAGUGACGGUAAUGGGUAAAGAAGCACCGGCUAACUACGUGCCAGCAGCCGCGGUGAUACGUAGGGUGCGAGCGUUGUCCGGAUUUAUUGGGCGUAAAGGGCUCGUAGGUGGUUGAUCGCGUCGGAAGUGUAAUCUUGGGGCUUAACCCUGAGCGUGCUUUCGAUACGGGUUGACUUGAGGAAGGUAGGGGAGAAUGGAAUUCCUGGUGGAGCGGUGGAAUGCGCAGAUAUCAGGAGGAACACCAGUGGCGAAGGCGGUUCUCUGGGCCUUUCCUGACGCUGAGGAGCGAAAGCGUGGGGAGCGAACAGGCUUAGAUACCCUGGUAGUCCACGCUGUAAACGGUGGGUACUAGGUGUGGGGUCCAUUCCACGGGUUCCGUGCCGUAGCUAACGCUUUAAGUACCCCGCCUGGGGAGUACGGCCGCAAGGCUAAAACUCAAAGGAAUUGACGGGGCCCCGCACAAGCGGCGGAGCAUGCGGAUUAAUUCGAUGCAACGCGUAGAACCUUACCUGGGUUUGACAUGGAUCGGGAGUGCUCAGAGAUGGGUGUGCCUCUUUUGGGGUCGGUUCACAGGUGGUGCAUGGCUGUCGUCAGCUCGUGUCGUGAGAUGUUGGGUUAAGUCCCGCAACGAGCGCAACCCUUGUUCACUGUUGCCAGCACGUUAUGGUGGGGACUCAGUGGAGACCGCCGGGGUCAACUCGGAGGAAGGUGGGGAUGACGUCAAGUCAUCAUGCCCCUUAUGUCCAGGGCUUCACGCAUGCUACAAUGGCUGGUACAGAGAGUGGCGAGUCUGUGAGGGUGAGCGAAUCUCGGAAAGCCGGUCUCAGUUCGGAUUGGGGUCUGCAACUCGACCUCAUGAAGUCGGAGUCGCUAAUAAUCGCAGAUCAGCAACGCUGCGGUGAAUACGUUCCCGGG